UACAGAGACUGCAAGCGUUAUUCGGAUUCACUGGGCGUAAAGGGUGCGCAGGCGGCCAAGUGUGUUAGGCGUGAAAGCCUGGGGCUUAACCCCAGAAUUGCACCUAAAACUACACUGGCUAGAGCAUUGGAGAGGGUAGCGGAAUUCACGGUGUAGCAGUGAAAUGCGUAGAUAUCGUGAGGAACACCAGAGGCGAAGGCGGCUACCUGGACAAUUGCUGACGCUGAGGAGCGAAAGCGUGGGGAGCAAACGGG
rnacentral:rRNA from 1 species